CAGUCUCUUCUCUUCAAGCUUCCAUCUUUUAUUUCAAUGAUUCAGGAUUUAUAGUUUUCUUCCAUCUCUGAAUUUGUUUAUUGGAUUCAGGUAUUCAUCCUCAUUUAAUAACCAUCCCGUAUUUAUUUUCCAGUUUUGAUCUCAAGAGUAGGCUUGAUUUCUAGGGUUCUGAGUUUCCAGGGUUUCCGUUUUGGGUUUCUGACAUUGAUUUUGUUUCAAGAUUUCAAUUGAAGAGAAGAGAGAAUUUGGGUUCGUGUAGUCUAAGGUGUUAGAUUCAAACGGGGUUUCUGUUGGUUAGAUUCAAGCUAGCGUCUUUUUCCAUCUUUUUAUGGCAUUUGAAUGCCAGGUGAACACUGAGUUUGAUUCCCAAGUCGAAGCUAAAAGAGAUUCAUGUGCCGAACAGCAAACAAGUGUGAUUUCAAAACCCAAACAGCUUUUGUCAAGCAAUAGGUCGAUCACUGACCUUCCUCCGGCUUUGAUAUCUGAAAUUCUGCAUUGCCUAGACCCCAAAGAGCUAGGCGUAGUCUCGUGUGCAUCGGCCUAUCUCUGUAGGCUCGCGUCCGAGCACCAUGUUUGGAAGGAGUUCUACUGUGAGAGAUGGGGGCUUUCUUCGGCUUCGGGACUUUCUGAUGACGAGUCGUGGAAGAAGUACUUUGUCGAAAGGGAGUUUAGGAGUAGGACUUUUAUGGGACGGUAUAGCAUGGAGAUUUUGUAUGGUCAUGCUGAACCUGUUCGAACAGUUUUCCUUCUGGCCUCGGCAAAGCUCAUCUUUACGUCGGGGUAUGACCAAACGGUGAAAAUGUGGAACAUGGAGCAAGGCUUGUUGAUUGCUUCUUCAAGGUCUCUUGGUUGCACUAUCCGUGCUGUUGCUGCCGAUACCAAACUCCUGGUUGCUGGCGGCACGGAUGGUUUCAUCCACUGUUGGCAGGCAGUGGAGGGCUGUCCGCACUUGUUUGAUAUCAGGGGUCCUCAAACGCAGACUACUGAGUUUCGUCUGUGGGAGCAUCAGGGUCCCAUAACAUCCCUUGCGUUGGAUCUUACAAGGAUCUAUAGCGGUUCGUGGGAUAUGACCGUUCGUGUAUGGGAUCGACUUUCACUCGAGUGUGUUAAGGUCUUGAGGCACAGUGAUUGGGUCGGGGCCCUCGUACCUCAUGAUACUACAGUUGCUAGCACAGCUGGUUCGGAUGUCUAUGUUUGGGAUACUAAUAGUGGGAAUCUGAUGACCCUUAUUCAUAAUGCUCAUGUUGGCAAAAGUUGCUCCUUGGCCAGAAACCACAAAGGUGAUUUUCUAUUUACGGGAGGGGAAGAUGGUGCAAUUCACAUGUAUGAAAUUCUGAGUCAGGGGCUUGAGACUAAUCAAAAUUUGGCUGCAACAUGGAUCCCUCACACAGGUCCUGUGCAGUCCCUUGCGUUUGAGUUUCCAUGGCUUGUUUCUGCUUCUGGUGAUGGGAAGCUAUCACUUAUUGAUGUAAGAAAGCUUUUAAAGACCAGAAGGCGUCCUUCAGGGACAAAUGCUUCACGUGUUAAACACGAAGACCGGAGCAGUGUAGAACCCCCACAGAGAAUGCUACAUGGAUUUGCAAAGAAUCUCCUUUCAGUUCACAUUGGUGCCGAUCGUAUUGUAUGUGGCGGUGAGGAAGGUGUUGUUAGGAUCUGGAACUUCACACAGGCUUUGGAGAUUGAGCGAAGGGCUCAUGCUUUAAAAGGAAUACGACUAGAGAAUAGGAUGAGGCGGCGUAGGCUCCAUACAGAGAAUAGCAGCAAAGCUGGUCGCACUGAUCAAUGCUCAGUUGCAGCCAAGAAGAAUCCAGUCACUGGUGAAAGGAGUGGUUGGCACAGUAAACGUGGGGCGAGCAGCAAGCUGAAAGCGUAGUAACCAGAUUAAUGCUCGAUGUACGCUUUUGAAAAGUAUGGCCUUUCUACUGUGAUUUGUACAACAUAUGGUUUAAGCAGGAGAAAGUGGUGAAUGAUGCCGGUCAAGUCUAAAGAUGAAGAUCCACACUUAGAACCAGGAGCACAGAUUGUCUUGCAAUCAACUAUACAACCUUGGUGGCGUGGAGCGGGAAAUAGUUUGUCUUUUGGUGGAAGUGCUUUAGCAUCAACUUUUGCAGAACAUGGUAACAGUGUUGUGAUGAAUGGAGCUAGGCAGUCACAAGCUGAUGCUGAGCUGGAUGGCAGAGCUAACCUCAACAAAAUUAUACAGACUACAAUAGGAUCAUAGUCUGGUUUUAACAUCAUAUCCAUAUCAACAAUGCAGUGGGAUGUUGACUCAGUACGGGCCACAGGCUAUAAAUGCAAAUUGCAGUAAUUUUUUCAUAAUAUAUAGCAUCAGGGAAGCUUCAAUGAAAU